AGCCCCCGGGCUUGUGUCAGCCCUGGUGUGGCCAGCAGGAGCCGGGCAGGGAUGGGGCCCCUGUGCUCGGCCCUGGGGAGGCCCCACCUCGAAUGCUGGGCUCAGCCUUGCAAGCAGUCCCGGCUUCAGCUGAGGAGCAGCGAGUCCGGUGUGCUCUGCGGAGCCGUCUGAGACCCAGCACCCUCCCCGUGAGCCCCAGCCAGGCAGGGUGAAACCCCGGCAGAGCCAGCGCAUAGCCAGGCCAUGGAGGACUGCAGAGCAUAGCCUUGAGCUGGUGAUGCUACCUCAGCUCUGAGCCUGUUCACGGCUUCAACAUCUCUCUGCUAAACCCUCCAGCUAUGUGAGUUUAGACUCAAUAUAUUAAAAUCCCAAAGAAGUACUUUGGAUGCCUGAAAUAUUUAUUUUGUUUCCUUUUAACUGGCCAUACCAGCAUCUGCAAAAAAAAAAACCAACCCUCUAAACACAAGACAAGAGCUCCAAAGCUACCAUUCCUCCUUUAAGCUUUGCAAGACAUACAUAAAAUACAGACUUCAAACAGCUGCAAAAAUAGUGUCUUUGGAAGAAAAUAGAGUUUCUACAUCAGAUACAAGAAAAUAUGCUUCUUCAAUACAACCCAGAGCCUUUGCAACAGACCACAAAAUCAAAUACUUUUGUUGUCAAGAGGCUUUUACAAUCAAUGUUCCCGUGUUAUCGCUUCACUUUCUAAGGCAUCACGUUGGGACAGCGCUGCUGGAUGUGGAAGCGCCUCAGGCGGCCACGGCUCCGUGCACAGAGCUAAGCCCUCGGUGAGGCAGAGGAGCCCUGGAUCCCCCCCUCCCUCCAUCCAGCCCGCCCCAGGAGCCAGCCCCAGCCAGGUGCUCUGGGCUCACAGCUGGAAAGCAGCAGGUAGUUUCUCUACAGCAGCAAAACACCCCCCUCGAGCAGGGACCUUUGUGCACUGCCAGUUUUCGCUUCCAUCCCCUCCUCCUGCAGCACGGCCAAGGCACCUGGAAGACCUUUGCCCACCCACAGGGAGACCAAGCCAGCAGCUCCCAUCUCAGAUGCUUCCUUCGCCCUCAGCCACGCAAGCUGCCAGAGCACACACCUGUGGAAGCCCGCAUUUAGUCACCUGCACUCUCCCUGUUUAGCGCAUGGCGUUGUUAAAGCUCCAGGCUUGUUUCGAGGGGUAAAGGUGUCCAGGGGAGGCACAGUCAGGGACCCGCUGCUCCCCAGCCCUCUCUGUGCUCCGAGGGAGAUGAGCCGUCUUAGCAGUGCAGAUGCACAACGUUUUCUGCUCCGAUACAUCCAAGGGAGGCCAUCCUCAGGCUCCUUCUACCCCCUUCCCGCUCCCCAGGGUUCAGCAGUCCCAGAGAGCUGCAGGGGUGACGGGUGCUCGAAGCCACACCUGAAAUCUCCCAGCUCAAACUUGCUCACAGAGCCACGGAGCACGAGUUUGCCUCCGCUCCCCACAGCGGUGCCCGGCUGCUCUUCACCAGCAGAACAAUCACACAGGAAACAAAGACAAUUCAACACAGGAAAGUGCUUUGAACAGGGGAGGCUCAGAGAAACCAUCCUCUUCAGCAGUGAGGAGUCCCAUGGCACUCUGUACUUCACAGUGUCUAUCAUCCUCAGAGGAAGCCUGCUGUGGUUCUCAAUACCAGGGCUGCCUCUCGGCUGUCACGUCCCACCUUCAAGGCACUGGUCUCCACAGGCUGGCAGAGACACGCUGAGGAGCCAGAGCUGCUGUUGCUGGCUAGGCUUCCCAACGGCUUCACACCACGAGAGAGCUGUGGAAGACGACGCUCUCCUCCGGCUGGCCGCGCUUCCAGUGUUCGUAAUUCAGUGAAGGAGACUUGGACACCUCGCCGAAGCUAUCUACCGCAGCGUCCUUCCGCACCCCAAGGAACGGGGCGGGGGCUGUGGGCUGGCAGGAUGUAAACGUGCCCGUGCCAGGGCUGGGAGAAGCUGGAAAGCCCCUGAAGAGGAAACCCACAUUUGGGAAGAGAGGCUUCACCAGGCUGACAGGGCAGAAGGCAGAACCGGUGGGGUUGAAGUGCACUUUGUUCUUAUCCGGGCAGGAAGGCCGAAAAGGCUGGUCAGGGCUGGGGGAGCUGAAGGAGAGACACAGAGUGGACACGAUUAGGAACAGAUAAUCCCCAGGGCACGGAGCAGACGGUGCCUGCAGCCACAGGGAAAACACCUGGAGUUGUGCACUCUUCAAAGGACCCGACUAAAAGCUGAACUGGCUCUGUGCUGGGCCGUUCUCCAGGCACAGAGCGGCAUGAAGGGCCUGUUUUGUUUUGAAAGCACACUUCUUAAUAGGAGAACCACCUCUUCUCCUCAAGAGGCUCUGCCGGCUGAGAAACCCCCGCCGGCCUGGGAAGGGCAGGGAAUCACAACAUCCUUCCGAGUGUGUCUGAGGGUCAGCAAAUUCAGCUUUCAGCUCUUCCCACCAGGACCCAGCAGCCACAUAUUUGUUGGGAGUGUUUUCCUACGCUCCCUACGCUCAAGAACAGGGCAGGGGUGGCAACUGCAGCAACAGAAGCCUCAGGUGCCCCCACCCCAGCAUCCUCCCACGGGGACCAACCUCACAGGAGUUCUCUUCUGCCAAUGACUCCUCAUACUUACGAAGCUUCUUCAAAGGCCCGGACCUUCUCACAUCCCUCAGGAGGUUCCCGUUUAAACAUGUAGCUGUGGUUGGGCCGAGGAGAAGAAGCAAAGGCCAGGACUGGUGAAGGGCUGCCCUCCUCUGGCAGGGAAAGAGAGACAGAUUUUGAGAAAUUUUUAAAAGAAUCCAACAGCGCUCUUUAACUCAACACCAGAUGUGCUCUUCUAGACCCUGGGGCUGCAGGCUACAAUAACCCCAAAGCUGCAGCGUUUAUCUGUGUAGCUCCCAGCUCACAUCCUCCAUCUAGUACUGGGAACCACCCACCUGGAGGAUAAUUACUGGAGCUUUAAAAAUCCACUACAGUUUAGCCAAGUUGGCCAAGACCCUCUCUCCCACCUCAGCUGCAGCUUCCAACCCACCACGCAGACAGGGAGGAGCCACCGCACCGAGGGUUUCACAGCACUGGCCCCUGUUGUCUCCCCUGACCUCCCAGCCCCUCUGCUUUCAGUAUUUACCUUUCUCCUUUAGAUCCGGCUGCACCUCAUCUGCUGCAGAGGAGGGCUCUUCCGCUGCCAGCCUUGCCGGGCUGUGUGGGGAAAGGCGGAGAGGCACGGAAGGGGAAGGAGAAAGAGAGAGGCUGCUACAGCUGCCACUGCUGGGCUCCAGAGUCAGAGACGCAUCUCCAGAGCCUCUCUGGGCCGGCGCUGGUGCCCUGUGGCCGUCUGGGACAUCCAGUAUCUAGGGAGGAAGCAAAGCCUUAGAGGAGCAAUGAACCCCUGUCAGCAGUGAAGGGGUUUAACAGCAGUUGCACCUACAGACAGCAGCUACUUGGGGUGCUGGAUCCAGACACAGGCAGAGCCUCCACACUUCAGGGAGCGAGGCAGCCUCCUGCAACCAGCAGGACAUCAGCCCUUCGGCAUCCUGAAGCGCACUUUGGUCUGUAAGCUAUCUGGGGUCGCCGCUCCAUCCGCACGGGGCGAAGCAGCCUUUGGAUGCCAGUCUAAGACAGCAUCUUACAGCUGUCAGUGAGGUGGCAUCUGUCCCGAGGUUACUACUAGCUAGUCUCUCAUAGCACCAGCAAGCUUUAAGAUGGGAAGCCAGCAGCCACUUGACUCAAUUUAGACAGUUACAUGCCUAAACAAACUAAAACUAGACACAGAGACGGUCCCCAUGGCCAAGAAACAGACCCAGGCAGUGUCUUUAGAGGAAAGGAUUUCCAAGACCACCCAGAAGAUCCAGGGCAUCUUGUGACCUUCACUUACCCGCAAAAGCUCUUCAUCUCCCUGUUCCUUCACAAACACUUCCUCCAAUUCCUGGUUUAGCCCUUCGAGGCUCCUAUGCAAGCAGGGGCUGAGCCUCAAAACAGGAGAUGGAGAAAGGAAGCCUGAAGAAGAGUCCUGUAACAAUCCAGAAUCGAAGCAGUUAGUUACAUCUGCCCAAACCCAGCGGUAACAUCCUGUUCCCACAGCUCUCCAGGGCUCAGCCAAAGCCUUCCAGGAGGCUGACGACAGAAGACUGACAGCAGUCUCAGGUAAGCUCACUGACUGCAGAUCGAAGCACAGGGUUGAAGAGGUGGGGGAAGAAGAGGAAAAACACAUUCUCCCUUCUCAGAUAUGAGAGGAGUCUGAGAACAGCUUGGCCACCUGCCCAAAGACGCUUGUUCUCCACCUCACUAGGACACACGGUGAGAGCAGAGCAGGGGGAGACGUGAACGUACCCUGAGCGAUCCAAGGACAGCAUGGUCCCCCUGGAGCGGGGAGCUCUUCUCCUUUUCUUUGCCACUUCUGCCAUUUAGCUUUGUUCGCUGGAGCUGUUGCUUCAGUUUGGCAAUCUAGCAAACAAAGUUUCAGCUACAGAACCAGACAGGCCAACACACCUCCACCAAAAAGGAUCAUGCCUUGUCUCUCUCCUCCCCCGCUUCCAACCCACAAGGAAGUGCCAAAAUAGAGACAGUUUCAGUCACACAAGCAGUGGGUCCGGCCACCUCUCCAAGGAUGGACCAGACGUACUCGCAAGGCCUUGUCACAAACUGCAAUGCGGCCAGUGCCCUUCCUCUAGCGGAUCUGGGUUAUCUUCCACCGACAGAGCAUUAGGAACUAGCCCCCGCUGGGACCCACACACACCACGACACCGACGAGCAAUGCACUGCGUUUCAGUGGAGCUACUUUACAAUAGCUGCCUGCUAGAGGAAGCCAGCAAGAUCAGUCUUUAGUUGAAUCAGAGAGCGUUAGGGAUGAGAACAAGGGCUAAGAUCUCAUCUUCAACAGUAUCCUGUCCUCCCACUCCCCUCCCAUGCAAGCAGGAGCCUCCUAUACAUUAGCAACUAACACAGAUCUUGCUCAAGCAUUGGGAGUGGUCUAUUUUACCUCUCUGCGGUGAUCUGUGCUACCCCAAGAAGCAGAACGCUUGUGAGCACUGGAGCUGGCUUUCCCCACUUCCACGUCAUGCCAGGACACUGGAGUCUGAAGUGAUGAGAAACACGGCUGAGAAUAAUCACAACAUUUACUGGUUUAGAGACUGGUGGUAGAGUCCUAAAAAUAAACGAUCAACUACCGCCCAUUCACAGUCCUGUUCCAGUCUCCCCCAUGAACAGAGUACUCAUAACGCGCAUUAAGAGAUAGCCGUCUAUUUAUAUUUGCCAAAACAAAGCCACUUUUGCCAGAUUUGCGCCUAUUGAGAAACUGGACCUCACAGACCUACAGGGCGAGACACCUGCCAGGAGUCAGUGGCUUAAUCACCGCAAGUACCUGGCGAGAUAAAGGGCACCAAGCCAUUACCCCAGAGAAACAACCACAACCGCCCCCCGCGCUGCUUGCGCAGGUUCCCGGCUGAUGAACGCUGACGUUGGGUUUCAGGCACUCGUUGUACGAAGCAUUACCGAGAGGAAAAGCCUCACCCAACUGUGAGAACACACAACUUGCUUCUGAGACCUCAGGCUCCCGUAUCGGAGUUCAAAGGCGUAACCAAAACCAGAGCUUGGCCUGCAGACUGGCUGCUGCUCUUGACGGAGCCCUGGAAAAACCCGGCUGCCUCUCCAGCUCACGUCCCUCCAUCUGCAGGGCUGGCAGUUCUCAGCUGACUCUCUUCAUGCAGGAAAACAGCCUCAGCGCCACAUUGCACAGCUGUUUUCCAAGCAACGGCUACAUUUUGAAUAUCAAUGGGAAUCAGAAAGGGCUGUUAAUCUGAUCAGCAAAGGGUGUGAACUUCCUUCCACUGAACUCAGCCCUCUCAGCAGAGGCUCCAGGAUCAGAACAGUCCCAAGGCACAACAUUUUCAAGCCCAGCCAUCAUUUUUUCCCCAACAUCACAUUUCAGUGCCUCUCAAAACGCUCACCCUGUGUCACUGCUGCCUGCCAUUUCUGUGGGAGGCUUUGGAUGAUGCUUCCCUCCUCCAUCCUCAGCGACAGGCUGCCAGAAGGUGCAAGGGCCUGAGAACAGUUCCUCUCCAAGCAGCUUGACUGAUCUCCCCAGAGGCUACUGCAAGAACAGCAGCUGUUUUAAACAACCCUGUUGAGUCAUGAGGAUGACAGGAGCCUCUUCUCUCAAAACAGGUUUUAAAAUCUAUUUAAACCAAAGGACCAAGGCAAGUUUCCUAGAGGGGUACCAGGUUUCCCUUCUGUAAUGGGGUACAGGUGAUUUCUAGGCCGAAAUCCAACCCUCACCUACCUUCACAGGCUCUGAAGGCAACCCCUCCUCAUACACACCACCAAGCAGAGCACGCUGCGUUCCCUACAGCUAAAACCAUUUGCAGCCUAGGUCUCCGUUUUGCAAUGCCUGUAAGCAGCAGUCGGCUCCGCACACAAGUUGUUCCACUCAAUUUAUGGUGUUCGGUUUGAGAGAAGAAACCCGUUCAGCCUGAGCCAUCGCUCUGCGGCCCCGCGAAGCUCAGCGCAGUCGGUCGCGGCCAUCCCCGCGCUACCCGGGCCGUGCCAGACAGAGCCGAUAGGAAACCCCGCGGCAAGGGCCAGCCUCGCGCUUUCAGCACACGGCACAUCUGAUCUCAUUUCCUACCUCAAACAUUCUCUCCUAAACAACUCAAACAUCAUUAUUUGGCCGUUAUCCCGAAACAUUGUGUCAUUUUAUAUCCCAGUAGAUCACGCACAUAACGAAGCUAAGGAGAUGAGGCCAAGGUCUACGAGACAAGACUGCAGCCCUGUCCCACGUUACUGCAAGAGGCAAGUCUGUGGGAAGCUGAACUCCAGCUGCUCAGAACAGCCCUGCUUUGCAGGACGUGACAGAAACUCUCAAGUCACUGGAAGCCUCCUGAGCCCUGUUUGAGAAGUCACUUAUUGCAGCCUAUUGCCGUGAUACCCAGAGAACUGAGCACCACAGCGGUGCUCGCAAAAGCCCUAGGGCCUAAAAAGGAAGAAAAGACGCUGUUUGCAAUAGGAAGGCCUGAAAAUGAAGAGCGCGUCCGCGUCCCACCUCUCGCAGGCAGACUGUCAAGGCAGAAGGAAGUUACAGAACCUUUUGUACUAACUGUGGCAAAACCGCUUCCUCAGAAAAAGGAGAGAAAGAAAUGCUUCGCACAGCAAGAUAAAGCCACAAGCUCCAAUCGUGUCUAGUGCUGCCAUCCUCACCCCCGCACUGAGCACCUGCAGUUCUAUCUCUCACUUAACCACCUUACGAUAGCAAAUCUACAGAGCUCUGCAAAACAGCUGAUCAGUAGCUGAAUAAGGAAGUAAACAUGUACUGGCUAGCAGAGAAAGUCCCAGGUUUGAUAACUAGUAAGCCUGAAAACAUGGAAGGAGCGGCGAAGUCCUGGAGGUUACGAUGAGGACGGUUUGGGGAUGCGCAGGGCAGCCUAAACCCGGGACUUUAUUCCCAGCUUUCAGCUGACAGACACCUUUGCGUGUGGAACAGGAGAUCGCUGCUCGCUUCACAGGCGUGUUGCAAGGUGAAAUUAGCACCUGCAGAACACUUGCAGAUAACUGAUGAAAGACUGCGGCACACCUGGCCUGUUCACUGCAUAGAGGAACCAUCAGCUCCCUGCUCAGCAGAGCCUCAAUUAACACAGUGGCGUCUUCCGUUCCAGGAGGAAGGAGGCACCCCUCUUCUCCAAGCCUUCCCCCAAAAGGGCCACAUACACAUGAGACUAAUUAGCCCCAAAACACUGGGGUUGGUUCAGCGUUCCCACCAUUGCUGAUGAAGACAGAAAGGAAGAGUGUGCUUCCCUGACUCAGAAAUAAAGUUAGACAAAUUCUUUCCCUUCCUUUCCAGCACGCCCUCUGCCCUCAGCAGCGCUCUUGGGCACUAGGACUGAAACAAAAGCAGGCAAGAGCACUUUGGAAAAUGACAAUGGAAGUUGGAAUCCAAUUAAGAAUUUCCUGCAAACAGCCCUGUAAUAAAUUGUUGAAUAGCGAAGAUAAAACAGCAAGUUAACAGAGAUUGAAUGUGCUAAAUAAACAACUUGUUAAGCAAGCAGAUGCUCUUAUCCUUCUAAAGUCUUUCACCUCCGCAGAUAGGCAAGCACUAUUUGCUGCCAUACAGUAAUAUUUACAGGUUGCUAAGAGUUCCUCGAGGUCUGGAGCUUUUCCAUUGUGCAGCGGAGCGCUGUGCGGUUCGUGCUAGCGAGCCCUUCUGUGGGAGCACCCUCGACUUCUCGCAGCCUGUGGCACGCAGCCCGCCAGCGUUAUAUAAGGACUUGGCCCAGAACUGCGAGCCAGAGGGGGAAAAAAAAGCAGCACUGAGCCAGUACUGGAGCAGAAAGCCAGAGGCCAUCUGCCUCCAAACAAGGCCAAGGAAAUUCUAACUCUGCACCAAAGCGGAAUCAAUUGAGGCUGAGAAGCAAAAAGGGAAAAGAAGCCUUCCUAGAAAGUUGCAGCUGGACGGAUGGAAACUUAACGCCUUCCCUGUUCGCCCCCAGUUUACAGAGCUUGUUUCAGUUCUGCAACCCUCUCCUGGCCCAGAGACCUCAAGGGCAGCCUGCAGGUGUUUAUACCUGGGUAGCUUUGUCAUUCAUGCACGAAGUGGAAGCUCCUUCAGCGUCCCGCGGCCACUGUCCCAACAGGUACGAGCCCACGAUGGUGUCCAGCGAAGACGUGCGCCGCACACGGGGCUGCCGGGGACGGCAGGGCUUCUCAACAGCAGCAGCACACGGAACACUAGCUAUA